GUGGCUUAGUGGUUUGAGUGUCUGUCUUGGAUGCAGAAGGAUGCCAGUUAAAACCAUGGCAGAGUCA